rnacentral:rRNA from 1 species
UGGGGAAUCUUGGACAAUGGGCGCAAGCCUGAUCCAGCAAUAUUGCGUGAGUGAAGAAGGGCAAUUCCGCUCGUAAAGCUCUAUCGUCGAGUGCGCGAUUAUGACAUGACUCGAGGAAGAAGCCCCGGCUAACUCCGUGCCAGCAGCCGCGGUAAAAACGGGGGGGCAAGUGUUCUUCGGAAUGACUAGGCGUAAAGGGCACGUAGGCGGUUCAUCGGGUUGAAAGUGAAAGUCGUCAAAAAGUGGCGGAAUGCUUUCGAAACCACUGAACUUGAGUGAGACAGAGGAGAGUGGAAUUUCGUGUGGAGGGGUGAAAAUCUACGGAUCUACGAAGGAACGCCAAAAGCGAAGGCAGCUCUCUGGGUCUCUACCGACGCUGGUGUGCGAAAGCAUGGGGGAGCGAACGGGAUUAGAUACCCUGGUAGUCCAUGCCGUAAACGAUGAGUGUUCGCCUUGGUCUAUUCUGAUCUGGGGCUCAGCUAAC